rnacentral:rRNA from 1 species
AAUCAACGCUGGCGGCGUGCCUCAGACAUGCAAGUCGAACGCGAAAGUUUCCUUCGGGAGAUGAGUAGAGUGGCGCACGGGUGAGUAACACGUGAGUAAUUUACCUUCGGGUGGGGAAUACUAACCGGAAACGGUUGUUAAUACCGCAUAAUGCAGCGGCAUCAAUGAUGACAGUUGUUAAAGCGGGGAUUGGAGCAAUCCGACCUCGCGCCUGAAGAGAAGCNCGCGGCAGAUUAGCUAGUUGUAAGG